rnacentral:rRNA from 1 species
CCUACGGGUGGCAGCAGUGGGGAAUAUUGCACAAUGGGCGGAACCCUGAUGCAGCGACGCCGCGUGAGUGAAGAAGUAUUUCGGUUUGUAAAGCUCUAUCAGCAGGGAAGAAAAUGACGCUAUCUCACUAAGAAGCCCCGCCUAACUACGUGUUAGCAGCCGCGGUAAUACGUAGGGGGCAAGCGUUAUCCGGAUUUACUGGGUGUAAAGGGAGCGUAGACGGUUAUGCAAGUCUGAUGUGAAAGACCAGGGCUCAACCAUGGGACUGCUUUGGAAACUGUAAGACUGGAGUGCAGGAGAGGUAAGCGGAAUUCCUAGUGUAGCGGUGAAAUGCGUAGAUAUUAGGAGGAACACCAGUGGCGAAGGCGGCUUACUGGACUGUAACUGACGGUGAGGCUCGAAAGCGUGGGGAGCAAACAGGAUUAGAUACCCGGGUAGUC